rnacentral:rRNA from 1 species
GGACUACUCGGGUAUCUAAUCCUGUUUGCUACCCACGCUUUCGUGCCUCAGCGUCAAUAUCGGUCCAGUUGGUCGCCUUCGCCACCGGUGUUCUUCCUAAUAUCUGCGAAUUUCACCUCUACACUAGGAGUUCCACCAACCUCUACCGAAUUCCAGACAGGCAGUCUAAAAAGCAGUUCCAGGGUUAAGCCCUGGGAUUUCACUUCUUACUUACCAAUCCGCCUACGCACGCUUUAAGCCCAGUGAUUCCGAACAACGCUCGCUCCCUUCGUAUUACCGCGGCUGCUGGCAC